AAUGCAAAAAAUUUCGUUCAUAUAUAUAUAUAUAUAUAAAAGUUUUAAAAGCGUAAUAUAAGUUAUUAUUUAAAAUAUCAUAACAUACAAUAAAUAUUUAAAGUAUUAAAGUAAAAAAUUUAAUAAUAAAAAAAAGCGAUAAGAAAUUAGGAUUAAAAUUUUUAGAAUAGGUAUAUAUAUGUUAAAAAAAUAUAUUUUGUAAUUAAAAUAUAUAUAUGCGGGUAUCCGUGAGUAUCUGCGGGUUACCCAAAAUGUCUACAGUUUAAUUGGUAUACACUGAUUUUAUUUAUAAUUUUUUUGGUUGAAAAAAUCGGUAUCCGUACCCG
rnacentral:lncRNA from 1 species